ensembl:snRNA U6 U6 spliceosomal RNA
GUGCUUGCCUCGGCAGCACAUACACUAAAAUUGGAAUGAUACAGAGAAGAUUAGCUUGGCCCCUGCGCAAGGAUGACGUGCAAAUUCGUGAAGCGUUCCAUAUUUAA